GAAAGGCGCUUUUGCGUCACUGAUGGAUGGACCCGCGGUGCAUUAGCUAGUUGGUGAGGUAACGGCUCACCAAGGCCACGAUGCAUAGCCGACCUGAGAGGGUGAUCGGCCACACUGGGACUGAGACACGGCCCAGACUCCUACGGGAGGCAGCAGUAGGGAAUCUUCGGCAAUGGACGAAAGUCUGACCGAGCAACGCCGCGUGAGUGAAGAAGGUUUUCGGAUCGUAAAACUCUGUUGUUAGAGAAGAAUAAGGAUGAGAGUAGAACGUUCAUCCCUUGACGGUAUCUAACCAGAAAGCCACGGCUAACUACGUGCCAGCAGCCGCGGUAAUACGUAGGUGGCAAGCGUUGUCCGGAUUUAUUGGGCGUAAAGCGAGCGCAGGCGGUUUCUUAAGUCUGAUGUGAAAGCCCCCGGCUCAACCGGGGAGGGUCAUUGGAAACUGGGAGACUUGAGUGCAGAAGAGGAGAGUGGAAUUCCAUGUGUAGCGGUGAAAUGCGUAGAUAUAUGGAGGAACACCAGUGGCGAAGGCGGCUCUCUGGUCUGUAACUGACGCUGAGGCUCGAAAGCGUGGGGAGCGAACAGGAUUAGAUACCCUGGUAGUCCACGCCGUAAACGAUGAGUGCUAAGUGUUGGAGGGUUUCCGCCCUUCA
rnacentral:rRNA from 1 species